rnacentral:rRNA from 1 species
CUACGGGUCGCAGCAGUGGGGAAUCUUAGACAAUGGGCGCAAGCCUGAUCUAGCCAUGCCGCGUGAGUGACGAAGGCCUUAGGGUCGUAAAGCUCUUUCGCUAGGGAAGAUAAUGACUGUACCUAGUAAAGAAACCCCGGCUAACUCCGUGCCAGCAGCCGCGGUAAUACGGAGGGGGUUAGCGUUGUUCGGAAUUACUGGGCGUAAAGCGCGCGUAGGCGGAUCAGAAAGUUGGGGGUGAAAUCCCAGGGCUCAACCCUGGAACUGCCUCCAAAACUCCUGGUCUUGAGUUCGAGAGAGGUGAGUGGAAUUCCGAGUGUAGAGGUGAAAUUCGUAGAUAUUCGGAGGAACACCAGUGGCGAAGGCGGCUCACUGGCUCGAUACUGACGCUGAGGUGCGAAAGCGUGGGGAGCAAACAGGAUUAGAUACCCCGGUAGUC